rnacentral:rRNA from 1 species
UACGGAGGAUGCAAGCGUUGUCCGGAAUCAUUGGGCGUAAAGGGUCCUGAGGUGGUUUGCUCAGUCCACUGUGAAAGUUCAGGGCUUACCCUUGAAAAUGCGGUGGAAACUAGUAGGCUAGAGUACGGUGGGGGCAGAGGGAAUUCCCGAUGUAGCGGUGAAAUGCAUAGAUAUCAAGAGGAACACCUGAGGUGAAGACGGGUUGCUGGGCUGACACUGACGCUGAGGCGCGAAAGCUAGGGUAGCAAACGGG